rnacentral:rRNA from 1 species
UACGUAGGGCGCAAGCGUUGUCCGGAAUUAUUGGGCGUAAAGAGCUCGUAGGCGGCUUGUCACCUCGGGUGUGAAAGCCCGGGGCUUAACCCCGGGUCUGCAUUCGAUACGGGCUAGCUAGAGUGUGGUAGGGGAGAUCGGAAUUCCUGGUGUAGCGGUGAAAUGCGCAGAUAUCAGGAGGAACACCGGUGGCGAAGGCGGAUCUCUGGGCCAUUACUGACGCUGAGGAGCGAAAGCGUGGGGAGCGAACAGG